rnacentral:piRNA from 1 species
UAUCUUUAAUUGACCCUAGAUAAACCUGAAG